ensembl:lncRNA
AACCUAGCAUUUACACACAUUCUUUUUCUGUUUUCAUUUCCUCUAAGUAAGCUUCAUUUUGUGUUCUCCUGUUAGCCUGAUCUUCAUUGUCUCCUCUAUUAAGCACUAAAACAAAGUGUCCAUAUAGUUUCUGAUUUCUCCCUCCUACCAUCAGAACUGACCUGGGAGAAAUUACCUCUAAUCUAGUAGAACUGGCCAUCUAAAUCAGAUGUUUUCUAAAUUGGUUGUUACAAUUCGCUUCCAAGGAGAUUAUGCUUUCUCUGCUGGUUCAUUCAUGUAGUCUCCCUUCCUCUUCCUACUUACUAAGAGUAGCUGUGAAGCUUUGAUCUCCACUCCUCCAGCUUUUAACCUUGCUCCAGUAUUCCACCUCCUCCUUGAUGUUACAGGAGUAAGUGGCAUCCAGCUUGAAAUACUAACAUGCUCGUACAUCAUCUGGCUGUUGCUUCAGAUCCUCCUGAGCAUCUUGCCCAGAAGUGACCUCCAGAAUGCCUAUGUGCUAGUACAGAUUAAAUGUUCAGACAAAACGUGUGAGCAACAGAGGAGACUGUGCUGUAUGAAGCUGUUCUCCAAGGACAUUCUUCCACUUGUCCCUUCCACAAGAUCUGAAGAAACAUCUGGACAAGGAUUCAUCACGUGACUUUAAAUAUGCUGAUAUUUGACUUCAGUGACAUGUUCUGAUGUCCCUUCAAAAUGAAGCACCUACCAAAUGAGGAUUUAAUUUAGAUUUAUGAGUGUGUUUAUCGUCUAUUAAUGAAGUACUACAUAAUAACUCAAACCACAUUUAUUGAGGCUGUUGUGAUUAUGUAACGGGGUAUUAUGUUUCUAAUAAUUAGCUGGCACCAUUCAAUUACAUAUGAAUUAAAGCAGUUGCUGAGUUUACUGAGGAGCCAGGAGUUGUUCUUAGCAUGAUUGUGGUGUUGGCAACUUUGUGCUCAGGAGGUGAGGUUUUAUGCUAGGUGACAGCUGCCCAUACUUUUGCCUUAUGUCUUCAUACUUGGCAUGCAAAGGUCAUCCUGAAAAUGGGAGACCAAGAAAUCUGGAUAUCAGGGAUUCAGGAAUAGGGAGGUGGGGACAC